UACGUAGGGACCGAGCGUUGUCCGGAUUUAUUGGGCGUAAAGAGCUCGUAGGCGGCCGUCCACGUCGGAUGUGAAAGCUCGGGGCUCAACCCUGAGAGGUCAUUCGAUACGGGACGGCUUGAGGCAGCUAGGGGAGAUUGGAAUUCCUGGUGUAGCGGUGAAAUGCGCAGAUAUCAGGAGGAACACCGGUGGCGAAGGCGGAUCUCUGGGGCUGUUCUGACGCUGAGGAGCGAAAGCUGGGGGAGCGAACAGGAUUAGAAACCCCCGUAGUCC
rnacentral:rRNA from 1 species